UGACCCAGUGAUGAGAGAAUGAAGCGCAUAGAGGGAAAUCCAGGAGUCGAGGGCGUGGCUUUUUCUUUCUUUUCUCUCCUCUCUUGUCUUUGUUCUUCUCUCCUCCUUUCUAAGCCCCUCCCACUCCUGUCCCAAUGAGCGGGAAGAUUAUGAGAUCUGAGGGUCA